rnacentral:rRNA from 1 species
UACCUGCAGCUCAAGUGGUGACCACUAUUAUUGGGCCUAAAACGUUCGUAGCCGGUUUAUUAAAUGCUUGGGUAAAUCGUGUAGCUUAACUAUACGAAUUCCGGGUAGACUGAUAGACUUGAAACCGGGAGAAGCUAGAGGUACUCCUGGGGUAGAGGUGAAAUUCUGUAAUCCUGGGGGGACCACCAGUGGCGAAGGCGUCUAGCUAGAACGGGUCUGACGGUGAGGAACGAAGCCCUGGGGCGCAAACCGGAUUAGAUACCCGGGUAGUCCAGGGUGUAAACGCUGCUUGCUUGAUGUUAGUUGGGCUCCGAGCCCAAUUAGUGUCGGAGAGAAGUUGUUAAGCAAGCUGCCUGGGAAGUACGAUCGCAAGAUUGAAACUUAAAGGAAUUGGCGGGGGAGCACAGCAACGGGUGGAGCGUGCGGUUU